UCCACUGUCCUCCUCCAGAUCUGCUGCAGGCACCUGGAGGUCUCUGACCUCUCCAAGUUUUUACCAAACACCAACAGGCACUUCCAAAAUCAAUCCUUAAAAAAAUAUUCAGAGCAAUGGAGGAGCUGAAUCCACCUGUGCCAUAUUUUUGUUUCCUGCCAACACCCCCCUCCCAGCCAGGGCUGCCACAAACACAGAGACACCAACAUUUCCCACUUUUAUUCCCUUGGGAAAUGAAUCCACUGCGAGUUCUGCCCCUGCAGCCGUGGUGAGAGGCUCAGCAUCAUCUCAACAGGCAUUAAAACAUUUUAAUAUGGGUUUCAACCUCUGCUGGAGCCUUUGGAUCCAGCCAGAAAUGGAUAUUUGGGAAGAAUUUAAGGCAAGAAAAGCACCUUGGCACAGGAUGGCAGGGGAAGCACCAGCAGCCCUAAAUAUUGGCAAGAUUAAUUCAUUCAGUUUCUCUUUAGCCAAAAAAAAAAGCUUUUUGAAAAGUCUUCAAGGUGCCAAGCUGUGCUCCCUGCCUCUGGCUGCACCUCCUGCUCCAAAUCACUUGGGAAGAACUCCCUGGGUGACAGAGGAGGGACAAGAGCUCCCAAAGCUGCUCUGGAAGUUUGGACACUGAUCCCCCCUGGGGCAGCCUCCUCCUCCUUGGAAACAAUUAAAACCCCAUCAAUUUAUUCCAAUUGAUCCGGGUUUUAAUGACUAUUAAAUGAGAUCAUGAGGGGCUGGGGCAGCACUGGCGCUGGAAGCAGUGGUUUAGGCACCUCCAAGGGGUGAUUUAGGCACCUUCCCCCCCCAAACCAGGCUUUUGGAAUAGCAGCACUGCCACCACCUUAAAUUUAGCACCACAAAUGGCAGCGCUGCUAAAAGGGGAGCUCCACGCCAGGGGGAUCCGGUGUCACAGGCAGCAGCUGGAAGGAAGGAGGGGCUGGCCCUGGAAGGAGGGGCUGGCCCUGGGUCUUCUCCUGCUCCAGAGCCCCGGGGGCUGCUCCUCCCUCGGGAAUUCAUCCAAAAAAGAAAACAGCAGCUCCUCCCCGUCCAGUGCAGAAGAACAGGAGUGCUCCAGGAGCAGAGCUGAUGGAAAAGCUCCUGUGGCCCUAAGAGGAUGCCCCAGGUCAGAGGGAUCAGGCUCAAUCAGCUCCCAGGAUCAGGAACCAGCACGGGGAGAUCCUGGAGGAUCUGAGCCCACGUUGGGUUUGAGCCAGGAAACCCAAGGGGACAGCAGGAAAUUUAAAUUAAUUGGAAUUAAAAGUGUUGAGGAAGGAGCACCAAGGA